UACAGAGGGUGCGAGCGUUGUUCGGAAUUACUGGGCGUAAAGCGCGCGCAGGCGGCCCUUUAAGUCUGCCGGUCAAAUGCCGGGGCUCAACCCCGUGCUCGCCGGAGAUACUGGGGGGCUGGAGACAGGUAGAGGCGAGUGGAAUUCCGGGUGUAGCGGUGGAAUGCGUAGAGAUCCGGAAGAACACCGGAGGCGAAGGCGGCUCGCUGGGCCUGGUCUGACGCUGAGGCGCGAAAGCGUGGGGAGCGAACAGG
rnacentral:rRNA from 2 species